CUUAGUAUGUCUGGGAAACUGCCCGAUGGAGGGGGAUAACUACUGGAAACGGUAGCUAAUACCGCAUAACGUCGCAAGACCAAAGUGGGGGACCUUCGGGCCUCACACCAUCGGAUGUGCCCAGAUGGGAUUAGCUAGUAGGUGGGGUAAUGGCUCACCUAGGCGACGAUCCCUAGCUGGUCUGAGAGGAUGACCAGCCACACUGGAACUGAGACACGGUCCAGACUCCUACGGGAGGCAGCAGUGGGGAAUAUUGCACAAUGGGCGCAAGCCUGAUGCAGCCAUGCCGCGUGUAUGAAGAAGGCCUUCGGGUUGUAAAGUACUUUCAGCGGGGAGGAAGGCGGUGGAGUUAAUAGCUUCACCGAUUGACGUUACCCGCAGAAGAAGCACCGGCUAACUCCGUGCCUGCAGCCGCGGUAAUACGGAGGGUGCAAGCGUUAAUCGGAAUUACUGGGCGUAAAGCGCACGCAGGCGGUCUGUCAAGUCGGAUGUGAAAUCCCCCGGG
rnacentral:rRNA from 1 species